CCUACGGGAGGCAGCAGUGAGGAAUAUUGGUCAAUGGACGAGAGUCUGAACCAGCCAAGUAGCGUGAAGGAUGACUGCCCUAUGGGUUGUAAACUUCUUUUAUAUGGGAAUAAAAUGUUCCACGUGUGGGAUUUUGUAUGUACCAUAUGAAUAAGGAUCGGCUAACUCCGUGCCAGCAGCCGCGGUAAUACGGAGGAUCCGAGCGUUAUCCGGAUUUAUUGGGUUUAAAGGGAGCGUAGGUGGAUUGUUAAGUCAGUUGUGAAAGUUUGCGGCUCAAACGUAAAAUUGCAGUUGAAACUGGCAGUCUUGAGUACAGUAUAGGUGGGCGGAAUUCGUGGUGUAGCGGUGAAAUGCUUAGAUAUCACGAAGAACUCCGAUUGCGAAGGCAGUUCACUGGACUGCAACUGACACUGAGGCUCGAAAGUGUGGGUAUCAAACAGGAUUAGAUACCCUAGUAGUC
rnacentral:rRNA from 1 species